rnacentral:rRNA from 1 species
AGACGGCCUUGCUGUCACUUAUAGAUGGAUCCGCGCCGUAUUAGCUAGUUGGUAAGGUAACGGCUUACCAAGGCAACGAUACGUAGCCGACCUGAGAGGGUGAUCGGCCACACUGGAACUGAGACACGGUCCAGACUCCUACGGGAGGCAGCAGUAGGGAAUCUUCCGCAAUGGGCGAAAGCCUGACGGAGCAACGCCGCGUGAGUGAUGAAGGUCUUCGGAUCGUAAAACUCUGUUAUCAGGGAAGAACAAACGUGUAAGUAACUGUGCACGUCUUGACGGUACCUGAUCAGAAAGCCACGGCUAACUACGUGCCAGCAGCCGCGGUAAUACGUAGGUGGCAAGCGUUAUCCGGAAUUAUUGGGCGUAAAGCGCGCGUAGGCGGUUUUUUAAGUCUGAUGUGAAAGCCCACGGCUCAACCGUGGAGGGUCAUUGGAAACUGGAAAACUUGAGUGCAGAAGAGGAAAGUGGAAUUCCAUGUGUAGCGGUGAAA